rnacentral:rRNA from 1 species
AUUGAACGCUGGCGGCAGGCCUAACACAUGCAAGUCGAACGAGUGGCGGACGGGUGAGUAAUGUCUGGGAAACUGCCUGAUGGAGGGGGAUAAGUACUGGAACACGUAGCUAAUACCGCUUACCACGCGAUGUGCUGAGAUGGGAUUAGCUAGUCGGUGGGGUAAAGGCUCACCUAGGGGACGAUCCCUAGCUGGUCUGAGAGGGUGACCAGCCACACUGGAACUGAGACACGGUCCAGACUCCUACGGGAGGCAGCAGUGGGGAAUAUUGCACAAUGGGCGCAAGCCUGAUGCAGCCAUGCCGCGUGUAUGAAGAAGGCCUUCGGGUUGUAAAGUACUUUCAGCGGGGAGGCGUUACCCGCAGAAGAAGCACCGGCUAACUCCGUGCCAGCAGCCGCGGUAAUUC